UGAGCGUCUACGCGGCUGCAACCUUUUUUUUUUCCCCCCCACGUUUCACCCCGGAUAUUCGUGUGUUGUUCCAGUGGGAAGGAAACAUUUAGGGGUGGCUACGUUCCUUAUAAUUCACCGAUGGAUGAGUACGAAUUGCGCAAAGCCAAAGAUCAAGAACAGCACGAGUAAUAGGUUUCCCUGUCUUAGUACGCUAUUACAUCGAUAAUAUAUAUUUAGAUGAGUUUUUUACAUGAAAAGUAAAUUUCUAUUUUAUAAAUAUAUUUGUAUGGAGAAAAAGAAUAAAAAUAACCUGUUCAAUCGUUCGUAAUAAUCAUAAAUAAAAAUUUCAUAUAUAAUAUUUUUAAAAUGAAGAACUUGCAUGUAAAAAAUUAAAGAGAUUAAAUGCUUUUUAAUAUUUUUAGAAAAAAUGCGAUUAAUACGGGACAAUUAUUUAUAAAUCAGUGGUAUUCUCAAUAAUUAAAAAAUGUAACAAUUGUACGUGAAAGAAAAUUAAACUUAUAUAUAUAUAUAA